rnacentral:lncRNA from 1 species
GUUCUGGCCUUGAACUCACGAUGUAGUCCAGGCUGGCCUCAAACUGUGGCAAUCCUUCUGCCUCAGCCUCCCCAUUGCUGGGGUUAUAAGCGUGCACCACCACGCCUGGCUUUUUUUCUCUUUUAGCUCGCCCAGCCUCAGUCUGUCUGGAUCACCAUCCAGCACUGGUCCCAAAACACACGUUGCUCAGGGCUCAAGUCUUCGCAGGGCUCACUGCAGCGCCAGGAGCCUUUCCACACCUCCUGCCAACCUGGCCUCACCUGCUUGUCCUCCACUGCACAUUUCCCCUCAGGUCCCCUGGCCGCGCUCCGCCUGCCCAGUUUUCAUAAUCCUCUCAGGCUCCAGCGAGAGAGGCACCGCCCACCGCAGGGCCUGGUCACGUGAGGGAAACACUGCGGGCCCCAGGCUGCGGACGGAGCCUGGAGAGCCCUGUCCUGUUUCCCUCCGCGCUGAAGUCAGGCUGUCAGGAAACCUGGCCCGUCUCCCGCUAAGCGACCUAGACCUCCACCCUCGCAUCACUACAUGCGAAUUAUACCUCUGUUGGAAGACGAGGAGGUGCUGUCAUCGUUCAUUACAUCAGCAAGCGCUCGUGGAGAACCUGCCACACCAACAGACCAGACUGGAUGCUUUGGAUCCAGUCUCUGGCUCAGCUGUCCUGUGAGGGAGCAGCCACAGGGAGACAAACGGCACUUCCUGUGCACUUCGAGCAGCUGGCUAUUUACAAGAGCCCCUGGUCACACAGGGGUCGAACUUGGGACCUUGCGCUUGCCAGGCAGGUGGCGGAACCACUGAGCUAAAUCCCUGGCUCGGCUGAGUGAAUUUUUGAUAGGACAAAUGUCCCACUGCAUUAUCUGCGUGAGGGGGAAGUCAGCCUGUGAAUUGUGGAUACAAAAGUCCCUUUUCCCCUUAUCCUCAGCUGGGAGACUUUUCCCUGGCUCACUCUCACCCUGUAGAGUGUACCUCUUUUCUACCUUCAAUAAAUGUACCAUUUUGCUGCCU